rnacentral:antisense_RNA from 1 species
GAUGCUUUAUCCUCUCGGGAUAAAGCAUUUAGUGAGAGCUAGAAAAAAGAAAGCCCCGUUAGUUGUUUUUUAAGUUCAACCAACGAGACAAGACUCUUUACUUAGCAAUGAAGAUUUUGCCUUCUAAGAAGUAGGAGGCAAGGAAAAUG